AUACUUACCUGGACGGGGUCAAUGGCGGAUCAGGAAGGCCCAUGGCCUAGGAUGGUGGCUCUCAUUGCACUUGGAAGAGUGCACCACCCUAAGGUCUCCCCAAGCGGGAGAGCCUACGUCAUAAUUUGUGACAGUGGGGGCCUGCGUUCGCGCGGCCCCUGU
rfam:Citrus sinensis cultivar Ridge Pineapple sweet orange scaffold00162_contig_4, whole genome shotgun sequence.